rnacentral:lncRNA from 1 species
ACAGAUGUGGAUGCAAGUAAAAGGAUUUCAUGGCAUCCAAACCACCAUGUCUUUCUAGAAUCCCAACAUCAAUGCAAGUUAUAGAAUGGAUCUCCGAGAUGGAGACAAUGUUUGAUAGUUGCGAAUGUAGCAACAGACAGAAGACCGCUCUUGCAAAUCCCCUGUUAAAAAUCUAGAGUACUAAGCUGGUGGAAGCUACUAGCUGAUUCGAUGCCCAAGGGAGAAUCUAGCAAGAUGUCUUUGAUGGGUUUUAGCCAUAAGAACUUUCCUAUGUGCGCAUGCAAAACCCUAAUGCUUGGAUCUAGGCUUUCUAAUAAACAUGCUUUGAAUCCAAGACUUCUAAUUGCUAAUUAGGUUAAAUAACAACAUUGAAACAGAUCUAGAAUCAUACGUUUGAGUUCCUUGUUGAUCUUGAGGUCUUGGAGCUUCUAGAGUCACAAAUGUCACUCCUCUAAUGGCUUACAAACACCAAAGCAAGGAGGAUGAUUUGGGAGAGAGGAGAGGGGAGGAAUUUCGACCAGAGGUUCCUUACUUUAGGUCAAGUGUCGAAUUCCAUCAGCCAUGGGGUCUAUUUAUACUUGUAGACUCCUUAAGGAUUACAGAUAAGUCCCUAUCAGAUAAUCUUCUCUUAAGGCUAUCCAAAUCCAUUCCUAGAUAACUCUAAUGGACGAUUUUAGCUAUCCUAAUCCUCUUAGAAUUCGUCCAUAGUAUAUCCAAAUGGAUUUACAGUCUAAAGCUUAACUAUCAAACAAUUGACAGUUUAUACCCCUUUAUUUAAUUAAUUUCUUUAAGUCACCAAAUUAAUUCUAAUUAAUUCUAUGACUUAUAUUAAUCAAAUAACAAAUAUAUUAUUCAUUAUAUUAUUCUCAUAAUAUAUUAAUAAUAUUUACUCUCUCUUAAUAAAUCAUCCUAUCAAGUUGCUAUGGUGAAGGCAACCCAAAAGGACCAUGCACAACCGGAUCAAAUACUUGCCUAAUAUAGUUACAGCCUUAGACACUAUUCCAACAGUCUCCCACUUGGAUAAGUCUAGUAACUAUACAAGUACAAUUCGGUUUGCAAUCGUAGCUCUCAAAGACGCUGUCAACUCUGAUCUAAUCAAUCUUGUCCUUUAGAUAAGGGAACGUACAGUCCUCUGUUAGAUAUCAUGCUGACAAUCCUAUGGAAUGGUUAGUCAAGCAUUUAGGUUUCUCGAUCUCUGAUUUAUUUGACAUAGAACUUAAUCGAACACAUCAAUUCAGUUCUGACCGGGCCCGGCACAUAAGUCAAAUCAAAUCAUCGAGCGGCCGAGAUAUCGCUUUUACCUUCUUAGAUAAAAGUUACAGAUAAACUUCGACUUAUAUGCAUUUACUUAUUCAUUUACCAACUAUACACAACAAUACGUUUUAUAACACCAAGUUACUGAUGCGUUUUCGUAUUAUCAAUGUACAAUCAAUUAACAAAUAAUAAACCAUAUAUCUAGGUUUUAAGACUAUAUGAUAUUAUCGUCUUGCGAUCACCUUUUAUAUCGUAUUCCAUAAGGUGAUUCCAGCAAGCGCGGGUUUAUUCCAAUGCUCAAAACUAGUUCAUAAGCACUCAUGAACGUUGCAGCAAUCCUUUGCUAUGUCUAACACCAUUUAGACAUUCUACACACCAAUUCAUGACAAUCUUCAUUCAUAUCUACUCCCAACAUAUGAACGAUUGUGGACCAUUUGAACAAUUCGAUUAUUCCUAAUAAACUCAAUUAUUCUGGAAGUCAAAACAUGCAAAGUGAAACAAUAGCUAAACAAUUAACAUAAGAUAGUAACAUUACUCAUAAAUAAAACUCCUUUAUUUAAUCAUCAAAUGUUAAUUACAUUUAUCUAUUACACGUUUCUAAUACUAUCUAAUCUAUGCUAAUAUCAUCCUUCAGCCCAAUACUCCUAGCAUGCUGCAAGUGCUUAACCCUACUCAGUCCCUUCGUAAGCGGAUCUGCUGGGUUAUCUUCUGAUGAUAUCCUCUUCACUACGAGUUGUCCUUCUUCUACACGAUGUCUAAUGAAGUGAUACUUUCUGUCGAUAUGUCUUGAUCUACCAUGAUCCCUCGGUUCCUUGGUCAAGGCAACCGCGCCUUCGUUAUCACAGAAAAUCUCCAUUGGCUCCUUUAUGGCAGGUACAACUCCAAGAUCACCGAUGAAGUUCUUUAGCCAUAUUGCCUCCUUCGACGCUUCGCUCGCUGCAAUGUACUCUGAUUCGCACGUUGAAUCAGCUACGGUUUCCUGCUUGGAACUCUUCCAUGUCACUGCUCCUCCAUUUAGGGUAAAGACCCAGCCCGACUGCGAACGGUAGUUGUCCCUGUCGGUCUGAAAACUGGCGUCACUAUACCCUCGCACCUUCAAGUCAUCACUCCCUCCGAGGACUAAGAACCAUUCCUUCGUCCUCCGAAGGUACUUAAGGAUAUUCUUCACCGCAAUCCAAUGUGCUUUGCCAGGAUUCCCUUGAUAUCUGCUAACCAUGCUCAAAGCGAAGGCUACAUCAGGGCGAGUACAAGUCAUAGCGUACAUGAUUGAGCCAACUGCGGAAGCGUAUGGUACUCGGCUCAUUUCUGCUAUCUCAGCUUCGGUACUCGGACUUUGAGUCUUACUCAAUUUGGCAUUACUUUGUAUCGGUAGUUCUCCCUUCUUUGAGUUUUCCAUACUAAAACGUUUUAGUACCUUCUCUAAGUAAGUAUUCUGACUAAGUCCAAUUAGUCUCUUACUUCUUUCUCUUACUAUCCUUAUUCCCAAAAUGUAAGAAGCCUCUCCGAGGUCCUUCAUAGCGAAGCACUUCCCGAGCCAGGACUUAACCUCCUGCAGAGUCGGGAUGUCGUUUCCUAUGAGUAAUAUGUCAUCGACAUAUAGAACGAGGAAGCUUACUAUACUCCCACUGGCUUUGACAUAUACACAAGAUUCGUCUUCGCUUCGUACAAAUCCAAACUCUUUGACUUUCUCAUCGAAGCAAAGAUUCCAUCUGCGAGACGCUUGCUUAAGUCCAUAAAUGGACUUCUCAAGCUUACACACUCUAUUCGGAUGCUUCGGAUCCACAAACCCCUCUGGCUGAGCCAUGUAAACAUCCUCAGCCAACUUUCCGUUAAGGAAAGCGGUCUUGACAUCCAUUUGCCAAAUCUCAUAAUCAUGAAAUGCGGCAAUAGCUAGCAUCACUCUAAUAGAUUUAAUCUUCGCAACUGGUGAGAAGGUCUCAUCAUAGUCAACUCCGGGAGUUUGAGUAAAGCCCUUCGCAACCAAUCGCGCUUUAUAUGUGUGUACGUUUCCAUCCACGUCGGUCUUCUUCUUGAAGAUCCAUUUGCACCCAACGGUCUUACGUCCGGGCACAUAAUCAACCAAAUUCCAAACUUGGUUAUCAUACAUGGAUUGGAUCUCGCUAUCCAUUGCCUCUUUCCAUUUUGCAGACUCCGGGCCUGCCAUGGCUUCCUUAUAGCUAUUAGGUUCAUCAAGAUUUACUAGUGUACCAUCACUAAUAUACGUGUCCCCUUCGGUAGUAAUAUGAAAGCCAUAAAACUGGGGAUGAACUCUAACUCUAUCGGAACGUCUAAGAGGUAAGGAUUCGUCAAUCGGUUCAACCGGAGUUUCCUCCUCGGGUUGAGUGCCAGCGGUAGAGGUUCCUUCAUCUAUCGACUCUUGAAUCUCUUCAAGUUCGAUUUGCCUCCCACUGUCUCCUUGGCUUAUGAGUUCUCGCUCUCGGAAAACUCCUCUCCUCGCAACGAAGACAACAUUGUCCUUCGGUCUAUAGAAGAGAUAUCCAAAGGAUGUCUGCGGGUAGCCGAUGAAAAUACAUCGCUCACUUCGAGGUUCAAGCUUGUCGUGAGUAUCUCGUCUUACGAAAGCCUCGCAACCCCAAACCUUGAUAUGUGCCAACGAGGGAGCUUUCCCUGUCCACAUCUCGUGAGGUGUUUUGGCAACCUUCUUAGUAGGGACUCGGUUAAGGAUAUGGGCGGCAGUCUCUAAGGCAUACCCCCAAAAAGAGAUUGGUAGUGAAGCACGACUCAUCAUAGAGCGAACCAUAUCCAAUAAGGUUCGAUUACGCCUUUCUGCCACACCAUUCAACUGCGGUGUCCUAGGAGGCGUCAAUUGUGAAACUAUUCCACACUCCUUGAGAUAAUCGUGGAAUUCAAGACUUAGGUACUCUCCUCCUCGAUCGGAUCGAAGCAUCUUGAUUUUCCUGCCCAAUUGAUUCUCCACUUCAUUCUUGAACUCUUUGAACUUUUCAAAGGUGUCUGACUUUUGCUUGAUUAAGUAGAUAUACCCAUAUCUACUAUAGUCAUCGGUAAAAGUCACAUAGAAGCGGUUCCCAUCCUUCGUGGUUGAUCUAAACGGUCCACAUACAUCGGUAUGUAUUAGGUCCAAUAGACCCUCGCCCCUUUCACAUGUACUCGUGAAGGGUGACUUAGUCAUCUUUCCAAGCAAACAAGACUCGCAUGUGUCAUCUUCCCUAAGGUCGAAUGACUCCAACACUCCAUCCUUUUGGAGUUGGGCUAUGCGUUUCUUGUUGACAUGUCCAAGACGACAAUGCCACAAGGAUGCUUUAUCCAUACUAGUGGAAGAAUCAAUAUUCAAAACAUCAUUUCCUAAGUUAUCAACAAUCAUAACGGUUUCAUAUAUUCCAUUACAUGGUAUAGCUUCAAAGUAAAAGACACCAUUUAGAUAAGCCAAAAUAGAACCAUUCUCAUUAUUAAAAGAAAAUCUAAAUCCUUGUCUAUAUAAACCAUGAAAUGAAAUGAUGUUUCUUGCCAUUUCUGGCGAAUAGCAACAAUUGUUCAAAUCUAAAACUAAACUAUUCCUAAGCACUAAGGAAUACACUCCAAUCUUGGUCACAGGCGACGAUCUUCUGUUCCCCAUGAUUAGAUUGAUCCUUCCUUGCUCCACAUCCCUACUUCUUCUUAGUCCCUGCACAUUAGAACAAAUGUGAUAACCACAACCGGUAUCAAGAACCCAAGAAAUAGCAUGAUUAGAAUCGUUAGAUUUGAUUGUAUAUAUACCUGCGAAAGAUGGCUUGAUCUUUCCUUCUUUGAUUGCUUGCAGGUAAUCCGGGCAGCUUCUCUUCCAAUGUCCUAUCUUGUGGCAGUGGUGGCACUCUGCCUCCUUCGGGUUAGAGCAGGGCUUAGCGGGAUCAACUUUGGUCCCACUAGAAGAGGCACCAUCUCGGGCUUUCACCUUGCGAUAGUUCUUCGAUGAAGCUUUCCUCUUCUUUCCCUUCCCUUGUCCAAUAGCCAAGACAGGAGCAGCGGGCGGAUUGGGAGUAGGUGCAACAGACUUGUCUUUGAAGUUGCUCUCAGCAACCCUCAAGAGACCUUGGAGCUUGCUUAGGGUGACCUCUUCUUUGUUCAUGUGGUAGGUCAUCCUAAAUUGAUUGUACAUCGGAGGCAAAGAGUGAAGCACCAUGUCGAUCGCCAAAUCCUCACCGAAGUCAACAUUUAACUUGCGAAGGCGGUCGACAUACCUUUGCAUCUUUUGCAAGUGCACGGUAAGAGAUUCUCCAUGACCCAUCUUCGCGGAAAUCAUGUUAGUGAAAAUCUCGUACCUCUCUUGUCUCGCGUUUUGGUGGUACCUCUCCAAUAAGUCUUGGUGCAUCUCGUACGGGUACAUGUCCUCGUAGGACUUUUGGAAUUCGGAGUUCAUGGUGGCGAUCAUGAUGCAAUGUACCUUCGUUGCAUCUCGCUCAUGAGUUUCAAAGGCGGUGAUUUCGGCGGGAGUAGCAAUUUCGGGGUUGAUUUUCUCGAGCUUCUCAUCGAGGACAUACUCCUUAUCCUCAUAGCGAGCAAUGGUGCGAAUGUAUCUUAUCCAUUCGCUAAAGUUCGUUCCAUCGAAGGUGACCUUUUGGCAAAGGCUCAUCAACGUGAAAGAACUAGCAGCAGCGUUGUUUGCGUUCGACAUCUACAAUUAGAAAAGGACAAAGAUAGAUUAGAAUAAGAAUCCCUAAUUAUCACCCAAUAAGAAAAUUAGGGCUAGGAUCCAACAAUAACAUUUACAUACUAGAAAAGGGAUGCCGUAAUCUAACAUGCAAAUAAAUUGAAGGUAAGUGAAUGACGAUUCACUAAUUCUCCAUCACAAAACUUAAACUAUUAGUCCUAAGUGUUUUUGAGAAUUCCUAGGUUCGGAUGAGAUUCAUUGAAACUAUUCAAUGGCAUGUUUAAAUCUCGAUAUGCCCCUCUUGUUUGUGACUGGGAUGCCGAGGAUCACAAAGCGGGUGUGAAUUACCAUGCAAAUUCACAUGGUGCCUUCAUUGUAACGAUCACCUAUUCGAUGUGCCGGUAAACCACACACGCUCCAUCGAACUAUGAUAAACAAUGAAUCACCCUUUGCCACCUUCGCUUAGAACCAAUUAGUGUGCCGGUAAACCACACACGCUCCACUAACAUCUUAGCAAGGUGCAAAGUGUAAUUUCAUGGGAUUGCAUCAAUUCACUUUUCCUAAAGUAACUAGGAUUGGGAAAUUUUAAAAUAUGUGUAGUUACUUUGUAUUUCUUAUUAUACUUUUAAUGAGAGGAUGAGGUUGCCCUAUCCUACCCGUUCGGCUAACGACCCUCCACCAAUCAAGCAAGCGGUGGGUGUGAGUGUACACCCAUUAAGCGCCAUUUUAUAGGCCGCAACCUUAUACCCACCUUAUAGAUCGGCUUCGUGAAUGAGGCCUACUAACGGUAAGACUAGCAUUUAGUUAUACAUAUAUAUAUUAUUCUAGUAAUAUCAUAUUAGUAUAGGGUUGUAUUUUAAAACUUUUAAAAUCUAGGGUUUGAAAUUUAAGUUGUCUAAAUUAAAACUUUUAAUCACAAAAGUAAAUUUCAAAACAUGAGGGUAGGUUUUAAACAUUUAAAACAUGGAGGAUCAAAUAACAAAUAAUUCCAAUUAACAAUUAAUAUCCUAAUUAUCUAUAUUUGAUUUAUUCAAGAUUUCUUUUUAAGAUAAUUACCAAAAUAAUCAAAAUAAUUAAUUAAUUAUCAUAUAAGGAAAUUAAAUAUUUAAUUAGUUGAUAAUUACCUUUAACUAGAUCAAGAUAAUAGUUAUAUUUAUCAGAAAAACGAAUUAAUGUUGAUCUAAUUAGUUUAUGGUAAGUUAAGAUAAGAUAAACACAAAGAAAUCCCGAAUCUGGCCAUUCCUGACGCCUGGACUCGCCGAGUGCACAAAUGGACUCGCCGAGUCAGGCCUACUCGCCGAGUCCACUUUGAGACUCGCCGAGUCCAUGACUCAGAAACCAAAAAAUCGAAUUUUGCAGGUUUGUUUCAGUUAAUCAAGCAACAAUUUACAGAAAACCAAGCUAGGCUCUGAUACCACUGAUGGGUUUUAGCCAUAAGAACUUUCCUAUGUGCGCAUGCAAAACCCUAAUGCUUGGAUCUAGGCUUUCUAAUAAACAUGCUUUGAAUCCAAGACUUCUAAUUACUAAUUAGGUUAAAUAACAACAUUGAAACAGAUCUAGAAUCAUACGUUUGAGUUCCUUGUUGAUCUUGAGGUCUUGGAGCUUCUAGAGUCACAAAUGUCACUCCUCUAAUGGCUUACAAACACCAAAGCAAGGAGGAUGAUUUGGGAGAGAGGAGAGGGGAGGAAUUUCGACCAGAGGUUCCUUACUUUAGGUCAAGUGUCGAAUUCCAUCAGCCAUGGGGUCUAUUUAUACUUGUAGACUCCUUAAGGAUUACAGAUAAGUCCCUAUCAGAUAAUCUUCUCUUAAGGCUAUCCAAAUCCAUUCCUAGAUAACUCUAAUGGACGAUUUUAGCUAUCCUAAUCCUCUUAGAAUUCGUCCAUAGUAUAUCCAAAUGGAUUUACAGUCUAAAGCUUAACUAUCAAACAAUUGACAGUUUAUACCCCUUUAUUUAAUUAAUCUCUUUAAGUCACCAAAUUAAUUCUAAUUAAUUCUAUGACUUAUAUUAAUCAAAUAACAAAUAUAUUAUUCAUUAUAUUAUUCUCAUAAUAUAUUAAUAAUAUUUAUUCUCUCUUAAUAAAUCAUCCUAUCAAGUUGCUAUGGUGAAGGCAACCCAAAAGGACCAUGCACAACCGGAUAUAAUUACAGCCUUAGACACUAUUCCAACAGUCUUGGGAAGAUUUCCUAGUGCAACUGAAAAUGCAGUACUGCUCUGAGC